rfam:Oryza glaberrima chromosome 2 Oglab02_0058_25, whole genome shotgun sequence.
ACUCCUUGUGAUUAUAACUACACAUCAGCUUGUGAUUAUUUGAAUUUGUUUAUGAUUAUUAUUUUUAUUUUUAUUAGAUGAUAAAACAUGAAUAAUACUUUAUGUGUGACUAAUUUUAAAAAAAAUGAUAAAAUUUUUAAUUAGACGGACAGUCAAACAUUAGACACGGAUUCUCAUGGCUGCACUUAUU